GUAACUGACGCUGAGGCUCGAAAGUAUGGGUAGCAAACAGGAUUAGAUACCUGGUAGUCCAUACCGUAAACGAUGAAUGCUAAGUGUUGGAGGUUUCCCCUUCAGUGCUGCAGCUAACGCAUUAAGCAUUCCGCUGGGGAGUACGGCCGCAAGGCUGAAACUCAAAGGAAUUGACGGGGGCCCGCACAAGCGGUGGAGCAUGUGGUUUAAUUCGAAGCUACGCGAAGAACCUUACCAGGUCUUGACAUACUAUGCAAAUCUAAGAGAUUAGACGUUCCCUUCGGGGACAUGGAUACAGGUGGUGCAUGGUUGUCGUCAGCUCGUGUCGUGAGAUGUUGGGUUAAGUCCCGCAACGAGCGCAACCCUUAUUAUCAGUUGCCAGCAUUAAGUUGGGCACUCUGGUGAGACUGCCGGUGACAAACCGGAGGAAGGUGGGGAUGAUGUCAAAUCAUCAUGCCCCUUAUGACCUGGGCUACACACGUGCUACAAUGGAUGGUACAACGAGUUGCGAACUCGCGAGAGUAAGCUAAUCUCUUAAAGCCAUUCUCAGUUCGGAUUGUAGGCUGCAACUCGCCUACAUGAAGUCGGAAUCGCUAGUAAUCGCGGAUCAGCAUGCCGCGGUGAAUACGUUCCCGGGCCUUGUACACACCGCCCGUCACACCAUGAGAGUUUGUAACACCCAAAGUCGGUGGGGUAACCUUUAGGAACCAGCCGCCUAAGGUGGGACAGAUGAUUAGGGUGAAGUCGUAACAAGGUAACCA
rnacentral:rRNA from 1 species